rnacentral:rRNA from 1 species
GAUGAACGCUGGCAGCAUGCUUAACACAUGCAAGUCUUUGGCGAAUCUGUCCUUGCACUGGCUAGCCGAGGCGGACGGGUGAGUAACGCGUUAAGACCUUGCUCUCCAGACAGGGAUAACAGACGGAAACGACUGAUAACACCUGAUACCGUUGCCGGCACGCAUUUUCCUGGCAUUGAAAUGAGAUGCUGCAGGAGAGCUUGGCGUCUUGUUAGCCUGUUGGUGAGGUGACGGGUCACCAAGGCGAUGAUAGGUACGCUGCCUGAGAGGGUGAACGGCCACCAGGAGACUGAGAGGCGGCCGUUACUCCUACUGGAGGCAGCAGUGGGGAAUAUUGGACAAGGGGGGCAACGCUGAUGCAGGAGUUCUGUGUGUAGUAAGAAGGUUUUGGGAGUGUAAAGUGCUUUCAGCAGUGGAGAAGAAAGUGACGGUACCUGGAGAAGAAGCGACGGCUAAAUACGUG